AAAGAACUUUGAAAAGAGAGUUAAACCGUACGUGAAAUUGUUGAAAGGGAAACGAUUGAAGUCAGUCAUACCAACGGGAAAUCAACCUUUUGAGUUUGUUCUUGUGGGUUUCGAGGAGUUUAAAAGCCUUCUGAUUUGCUAGGAUUGGGCUCUUUUGGUGUACUUUCCCGUACGGUUAGUCAACAUCGGUUUUGAAUGUCAUAA
rnacentral:rRNA from 1 species